rnacentral:rRNA from 1 species
AUUGAACGCUGGCGGCAGGCCUAACACAUGCAAGUCGAGCGGAUGAAGGGAGCUUGCUCCUGGAUUCAGCGGCGGACGGGUGAGUAAUGCCUAGGAAUCUGCCUGGUAGUGGGGGAUAACGUCCGGAAACGGGAGCUAAUACCGCAUACGUCCUGAGGGAGAAAGUGGGGGAUCUUCGGACCUCACGCUAUCAGAUGAGCCUAGGUCGGAUUAGCUAGUUGGUGGGGUAAAGGCCUACCAAGGCGACGAUCCGUAACUGGUCUGAGAGGAUGAUCAGUCACACUGGAACUGGGACACGGUCCAGACUCCUACGGGAGGCAGCAGUGGGGAAUAUUGGACAAUGGGCGAAAGCCUGAUCCAGCCAUGCCGCGUGUGUGAAGAAGGUCUUCGGAUUGUAAAGCACUUUAAGUUGGGAGGAAGGGCAGUAAGUUAAUACCUUGCUGUUUUGACGUUACCAACAGAAUAAGCACCGGCUAACUUCGUG